GGAAAGUCUGAGGCCGAUCUGACAUCCUCUGGUGUGACAGAGAAGAGUGAAUGGCCCCAGCCCUGACCAAGCUCUCCAAAGACGCCCACGGAAUCCACUUGGCGACCACUCUCGCCCUCAGCAACAUGGAUGUAGAUGGGGCAAUGCUCAACAUGGAGUGUGAUCCUCAGUUGAAACUGAAGGAGGGCAGCUAUGCUCAGAGGGUGUGGCUCAACCUCUCCUCUCUGCCCUGUCUGGACACCUUUUGCUCUGGCACGAGUCCCUUUGAGGUUUCAGAGUCGCUCCUGUCCCCUCUGCUACAUGCCUCGGCUGGACAGUACAACACAGUGCUUCUCUCCAGCCCUGGUUCCCUGUUCAACCUCCUGUUCCUCAACAAAAACCUGAAGAAUUCCCUGCGGGCCUGUCCAGGUGCACAAGACAUGUAUUUUGUUCCCGUCACUGAACACAAUGGCCAAGGUGUGGUUCAGCAGCAGUGUCAGCACAGUGUACAACCACACAACCCUGCUGUCCCCACACCCGGCAUAGCAAGGCAGGAGGAGGGGGCACCAUCAGCACAGACACAGCUCUAGCCCAGCCAUGGACCAAAAGGACUAGGAGCCAAGGCCAGGAGCAGCCUGUGACUGCAAUGGUGGAGGAGGCAGUGAGAGAGCAGACCCGGUGGCGUCUCUCCCAACAAGCAGCCCUGUUAGGACAGGCUGGGCGGAUCCAGAGGAGGCUCCAGGCUCUGCUAGGGGACCACCUUUCUAGCCACUCCAGCUGGAGGGUCUAAAGAAGAGGCAGGGCAGGGAGACCCCGGGUCCCCCCUCACCCCCAGCUGACACCAAACCCUUUGAUCCAGCCAUGGGGCAGAGACCGACAGGUACACAGAGCCACAGGACCCAGGAGCUACUGCAAACCGUCUCAGUCCCAUCCUCUUCUAAAGACAUCCAGGAGUUUGCCAGCUAUGCCCAGGCUGUGCUGCGCACGGUGCAGGAGGCUGUAGACUCUGAUAUCACAGAGAGCAGCUCAGAUGAAGAAUUGGAGCCUGAGCAGAAAUGGGGGACCAGGUCUCGACCAGUUAGGCAUGGUGUGAGUGGAGGUGGCAGAAGGCGAGGGCUGAGGCGGGCAGCAGGUGGACCUGGCUACAGCUGCGUGUGGCAGAGCUCGAGGGACGCAUCCAACAGCUGGAGGACCUGCACAAACAGAUCACCUUCACCAAGAGUCGCAGCCGUUGACGGACAGGCAGAUCCAGCAGACGUUACUAACGGAGACAGCAGGGCUGUCGUUCAGGGGGGGGGGACCGCUAGAGACCCUCCCUCCGACACGGAGAACGAACCCAGCAGCCCCACACGCCUCCUCAGGAACAUACAGAGACAGGUACAUUUUUAAAUGUCAUUUAACCUUUAUUUCAACAGUAACAUUGCAACCUAGGUCUCUUUUUCAAAUGAGCCCUCUGUCAGAUGAUACUGUAUAUAGUGGAUGAGAUGUAUUUUUCUCCUCAGUUCAGUAGAUAAAGAUCUUCAACCAAAACCUAAAAUUAGAUAAAGGGAACCUGAGUGAACAAAUAGAACAACAAUUACAUAAUUAUUUCAUAAACAAAGUUAUGCACCACCCAAUUCUCCUGUGUGAAAAAGUAAUUACCCCCUUACACUCAAUAACUGGUUGUACCACCUUUAGCUGCAAAGACUGCAACCAAACACUUCCUGUAGUUGUUGAUCAGUCUCUCAAAUCGCUGUGGAGGAAUUUUGGCCCACUCCUGCAU
rnacentral:lncRNA from 8 species